CAAUUGGGGGAAAAAAAUCGCAGAAGCGGAAGUGAAACAGAAGCAUUCCGCGGGUGGAUUUGGAAGAAGCAGCACAACCGCUGAUAAAGACAUGCUUAAAAUAUGCUUGGAUGGCUUUAUGCUGAAAAAUCAACGAUUAUGAUUGAUAUACGCUUCGCUCUCCGCCUGAAAUUGACCACUUUCCGUGGAAAGGGGCAUUGUUCUCCUUAAUCCACACCUUGAUGAAACAUGGAAAACCUGUACUUGGCUUGGCUUAAUGGACAAUACCAAAUACUUCGCCCCCUCCCACAACAACAGACCCAAAUUGCCGAUAACGUGGCGAAUCCUGGAGUGAAACCACAACAGAGAGCCAUUUCUUGUCAGGGUGGCCCAUCUAACAGGCAGACUGACGUUUCUUAUCAGACAGCUGGCGAACCGGGACCUUAUGUCAAUCUGCAGAACCCUUGUCUGAAUGUGCAAGGAGGACAUCCUUUCCAUGGAAGCAGAUAUCAAAAUGCUACUAAUCAUUCAUUAGCUCAGCAUGGAUCUGGCUUUAGGUUAAACACGCCCCCUCUUACAACGGCUGCCCCACUUCAAGUCAGACAGGGUGUUUCAAAGACCGGAAAAGAAUCCUCCACUGCAAGUAACACGCACAUUGCUUCAGUCAACAAAACUCAAUAUGGACCACUCUCUCCUUCUGCCAACCAACAAUAUUUAGUUUCCUCCAAUCCCAACACAUUUGUUCUCAAGCCCCAAUCUACUGGACAGAGUUUGCAGGGUUACAUUUUGAUUCAACCGACAAUGCAUAUUCCCUCCACUGUUUUGGUUAGUAGUCAAACAAACAUCCCCAAAGCAGCAGAGUCUAGGCGUGAUGUAAUUGGGACAACUAUGCAAGGAACCACUAAUCAACAAACUACAACACAAUCAAGAAAUCAGCUGGUUACCACACACUCAACAACGCAUCUACUGAAUUUAAAUCCACUGUUGUCAGAUUUGCUACUGGCCCCGGGAUCAGUGAGCAAGAGUUCCCAGUCAUUACCAACAAAUAAAGUAAAUGACAACUCCAUUUCUACGAGAGUCAUCGCUGUGGUGCAACCAUUGUCUCCACAAUGCGAUAUAAUUACACCUGCAAGUAAAAAUCCCUCACCACACAACUUGAAUUUACCCAUUGUGGACGCCCAGAACAAGACUACCAAAGAGGACUGUCGGAAUCCCCCUGAAAGUGAAACUCAGCCACAGUCCAACAAAUGUCUGAGGAUGCAUGCAUCAGCUAUCAGACAUGCAGAUGACACUCCAAGUCAAGUUCUGAGAUUGCAUCCGUUAGCUACCAAACUUGCAGAUGACAUGCUAAGGAAAGACCAUUGUCUUGGAUCAUGUGCUUCAAAACUGGCGACCCUUGAAACUCCAGCAAAGGAAAGGGGGACUAAUGACCAUGAUAAGAUGCCACCCGAUGCAAAGGCUAGUAUCCUUGAACUUUCCUCUUUCCCAACAACUACGUGGACGUUGAAAGAUUUAGUGUUGAUGGGUAAAAGAUUGGCGAUGCAAGGUGCACCUGCAAAUGACAAUUUACCCAAACAACUAUUAGACAUGUUUUGGGGUGGGAGUUGUGACAAUUUGGCAUGUUCUCUUAAGACAAAAUAUUGGUCUGCCUUGAUUCGUCAUGUUUAUUUAUUUUGUGCCAACUCUGUGAAAGAAGACACUGUUGUGCUGUCACAGGUAUGCCCGUCAUUUGCUGAUCAACUCAAAAACUUUCAUGUCCUGAAAGAUGGUGAGGUUUACACAGAGCUGCCCUACACAUCGUCAUGGUUGAAUACAAAUGAACAGCUGGAUGAUAUUGACAAAGAAUUUGGCCCCAAUAUUUACAGAUACGUGCCUCACAACCAGCCAGAUCCCGUUAAAAAAGUCGCCAGCGUUUCAUCACAAGAUGUUAGCAAGGUUCCCAGAUCUGUCCCUGAAAGAGACGACCAAGAUUGUAAUGAGCUACUUGUCAACCUUUCACCACAAAAUGUUGCAGAGAUUCCCAGAUCUGACCCUGAUACGGGAGGCAAAGAUUGUAAUGACCCACUUGCCAACAUUUCACCACAAAAUGUUGCAGAGGUUCCCAGAUCUGACCCUGAUACGGGAGGCAAAGAUUGUAUUGACCCACUCGCCAACAUUACACCACAAAAUGUUGCAGAGAUUCCCAGAUCUGACCCUGAUACGGGAGGCAAAGAUUGUAUUGACCCACUCGCCAACAUUACACCACAAAAUGUUGCAGAGAUUCCCAGAUCUGACCCUGAAACAGGAGGCAAAGUUUGUAACGACCCUCUCUAUUCAUUUAAAAUCCAAGUUUUGUCACCAGAAAAAGCGAAAGCCAUCUUUGAGCUUGGCCGUGUUGUGAUGUCACCAAGUAUUGGUCAACCAAAGGAAGUCUUAAAUACUUCUGGUGGUGUGGAAGAUGAGCCACUUCCAGAAGUAUACGUUACAAGCGGAUCAAAACUAAAAAAUCCCCUGAAUCGUUUUUGCUGCAUAGCAAAGUGGAAAGAAAUUAUUUUGGGUUCCAAAACAUCUUCGGAUGAUAAGUGCCAUUGCAAAGAAGGUUUUACGAAGACGCGAGAACAAAUGAACUGUCCACAGUUUACAAUAGAACCUGAUCGCCAAUCUCACUCACUGGAAGGAGACAUGGAAUCUAAAAGUAAGGGGAGAAUGUCCAGCAGCCUUCCGACAAUAAGUUGGCUUAAAAUAUGCAAUGAAAUCAGUGAGACCUUUGAAUUAAACGACGAUCAAGAAACAAAUGACCUCCAUGGUCAACAGCCAAAAGGAAGCCAGGCAAAAAUGACAAGGGAAAACAAAGACGAUGUCGCCAAUUGUGAUAUUCCUACCAACCAUAUUGCUGACAAUGAAGAGGAUUUGAACAAAGCUCAGCUGAAACCUGCAGAAGGUUGCCUGUCAACUGACGGCCACAUCAGGGAUGACAAUUCUUGGACCGAAAAUCACAUGGACACGAAUAUGUCAGCCAAGAAUGAACAGGUUGAACAAGCUUCAACGGCAUCUUCACUUGGGACAAUGUCACCUUUGGAAACGGAACAACUGAUACAAUGCAGUCCAAAGUCCGGAAAUCUGAUCGAUUUCAGUAAAUCAGGAACACAUGGAACUGAUGAAAGGAAACGGAAGAGACUUGCCAAUCCUAACAGUAUUUUUCCGCACCUGAAGAAGUUGAUGAAGAAAAACCUGGAUUCACAUGAAGUUGAUGUUUCAAAAAAUAAGGCAGUUGUUGGUUCUGAUGGUAAACCUUUAGCGUCAGACAAUUCAACUGUCAAAUUGAUGCUGUUUGGCUCUUUACCACACCAACAGCAUGCUUUAAUUAAUCACGGAAAUGAGACGACAAAACCACCAAAGGUAGUUUUUGCGAGGGUUGACGCCAAGAAAAAAAUCGGUAGAGGUGAACCAAAAUCAUUUUGUUCAGCCACAAAAGGGACUCUAUCUCAAACUAAAAUAACAUUCGGAACCAACAUGAAACUAAUUGCGGGCAAAGGAGAGAAGUUACGUUCGACAAAUGACACGGAUAUUGUCGGCCGACAAAGUCGGUCUGUUAAACGUGACAAAAGAAGUAAUGAAAGUGGACCCCAAGAAGAUUUGCCCAUCCAGGACAACAGCUUGAAUUUCAGCGUUUUGCCCACCACCUUCUGCUUUGAAGAUGAAUCAACAGGUCGGGAAAAAAACACAGAGCAUCGUUCAGGUAAAUCAAUGGAUUUAAUCUGUGUGAAAUCUGAACUUGUUUGAUUGAACACAAGCGCAUACACUAGAGGGCUGUUCACACGGCACACAUUUGCUCCGGCGCUGCACCGAUGUAUUUUGUUGCGAUAUAUUACGCACCGCAGCAAAUUGUGCGGAGCGUUCACACGUACAAAGCCGCUGAGCAUGAUAACACUGACACAGCGUCGGUGCAGCCCCACUUGCGUUCACACGACAGAUUCUGCAGCGGAGCAAAACGACAGAAAACAAAUGAGCUGUCGUGUUGGUUCUUUUUAAAACGUACUGUAUAUACACAACUCAAGCGACUACUGGACCGGCACGUCCUUCUCCUUCUCGGUCUCCGUGCCUUCUGCUCGAGAGUGACCGCCCACGAAAACGUAAAUCAACGAUGACUUCAAUGACACUCGGAAAACCAAACACUAAUGCUCCAAACAGAAAAUCAAGAGAGGAAAUCACAAAAUAAAUUAUAUGGGGGGCGGGGGGUUGUGAACACAAAACAAAGAAACAAACUACACAAACAACUCUGAGACAGUCCAGUCUCCUACAAAAGGAAAGAUGUUACCAGCCAAGUCUUGUGUCGUUAUUAAACAAACACAUGACGGAGGUCCGACAGAGCACGAAAGCAACGCAUUCUCGCCAUACGUACUCUUCACAGGCAUUUGCUCUGGAGCAAAUUUGACUCAGUUGCGUUCACACGUGCAAAUUUACAUCGGUGCUGCUUCGCAAACGAGCAUUGGUUCCGGAGCAAAUUUUUAAACCACCUCCCUGAGGUGGAUCAAAUUUGGUCCGGUGUAAGCCUUUUUCCGGGGCUACGCCGGAGCUAAUUUGCACGUGUGAACGCUCUACUGGGGCAGCCCCGGCGUAGCACCGGACCAAAUCUUGCCGUGUGAACAGCCCUUGGCAGAAAUGACUUCUGAUGUCUGAAUGGCAACCGGUGGAUAUGCAGGUUCAUUGUACCCUUCCGCCAUGUAAUAGAGGAGCAUUUCAUUGUUCACUAUUCCUCACUGGGCUAGAUGAACAGAGAUGUAUAACAUUUUCUCGUGGUGACACCCUUGAUCUUUCACACUUGCAUUUCCACAUGACAAGUGGAGCGGAGACAUGACGCAAGAGGAAAGAAGUAUGGGGCGGAAAUGAACACUUAUGAUGUAAAAUGUGCGCCAUGUCGAAUGAAGUAAUUAAAGAUGUAAGGUUGAAUGAAUUCCAUGACGGUUGGCUUGAUAAGUGGCAUGAAUAUUUGCAAUUCUAAAUAUUCAAAUGCCAGAGUUCACCAUCCUUGACUUAGUCCCUUUUAGAUUAGGUUUAAUCACCCGGGGAGCCCUUCUUGGUUUAGACCUUUUCAAAAUGAGUAAUAUCAAUUUAACCUCUUGAGGGACUCAGUGUAUUAGAAUAGUAAUUUUAGGUUUAACCACAAGAGGCUACUAAGUGCUGUCAGGGCGGGCUUAGACAUUCAAAUUAGAAUGAUAAUUUCAGAAUAAAAUGCUAUUAUGUGCCAUAUUGAAGUGAAGCAGCUGUAUUAAAUAAAUGUUACACACAAAUUAAAACACAAACUAAGAUAUGAGCUGGCUUGCUUGCUGACAACUACUUUUUUAAGGAUGAUUGAUCAUCAUUUUGCCAACACAUGAAUCCAGAAACUGCUUUUCUUGUUCUGGUUUAACCUCAAUUGAUUUGUUACACGUUAAUGACGUGACGUCAUGUUGAGAGCAGUCUCCAUAAACUUUGAUUUUGUAAUCAUCUCAUUUCUACCAACCUAAUUUCUUUAAAAGCUAUGUGGUUGUGUUGGGGGGGGGGGGGGGGGUAAUCAUCAUCCUCAAAACUGAACAAUUUUCAUUUCUUACAGAUUAACCUUUUUUCCGAAUCAGAAAGGAAAAGGCCCAGUAAGAAGAACAGAGUGGAUGCUUGGAUUCCUUUUCCCGCAAAGAAGUCCCCUGAACACCAUGGUCCAGAGUCCAAGAGGUCCGGUGCCUUUGCAGAGUAUCAGAAGAAAUACAUGGAGAAGUCACACCCACCCAUCAUUCAGCAGCAGUUGAAAACACAUUAAAAUGAUUGUGAACGCGAUUCCUUUUGUUUCUGGUUUUGUACCAUCUUAAGAUGGCCAAGUCUUCAGCUUUUUUGCACAUUUGACCUUAAGGCACACUUCCUUUUUUAUAUGUGUAAAUAUGUAUGUCCUUAUUUUUUAUAUAUAUUUUGCCAUGUUGGUAUUUUUGUUGACAUAUUUUUUCCUAUAUCUGGCGUGAAUAUAACAAUGUAGUUUACCAUCGUUUAACUAUGAUAGAUCAAAAGGUUUUAUUUUACUGAAUGAUUGUUGCAAUAAGAGUUGAAGUAUUCGCAACCUACACAAGUUCCAUUAUUUUCCAAUUGGAUGAUUAUUUGAUUUAUUGAAUGUUAUUUUUUCAGAAUAAUAUGUAAAAGUUUUUAUUUAAAACUUCACAGAAA